UACGGGGGGAGCAAGCGUUGUUCGGAUUUACUGGGCGUAAAGGGCUCGUAGGCGGCCAACUAAGUCAGACGUGAAAUCCCUCGGCUUAACCGGGGAACUGCGUCUGAUACUGGAUGGCUUGAGUUUGGGAGAGGGAUGCGGAAUUCCAGGUGUAGCGGUGAAAUGCGUAGAUAUCUGGAGGAACACCGGUGGCGAAGGCGGCAUCCUGGACCAACACUGACGCUGAGUGAGCGAAAGCCAGGGGAGCGAACGGG
rnacentral:rRNA from 1 species